AUACUAGCUAUGGCGGUACAUAUUCAAAAAUUGGAAUGAUACAGAGAAGAUUAGCAAGACCCCUGCACAAGCAUGACACACAAAUACGUGAAGCAUUCCAUAUUUUU